UGUUGUUAGUGUAACGGAUGAACAAGGAUGCUGUUUUCUAAGAUAUAUGUUAGAAAACUACCAGUCAAAACGACUGGACUAGAGGCAGGCUGACACAUAGAAUGGUAGGUUUUUCUUCCAUCAACAAGUCAACCUUUCCAAAUUAGACAUUUACAUAUGUUCCUGUUGAAUGCUAAUCCUCCUGCUCUCACAGUUGAAACCACAUUCUCUGCUAUACACUCAAAACAAUUCAUCUUUCAUCUCUCCACAUAAUGGAUUCAGCUAUCAAAGUAUCCAAGACACAAUUCUUCCUAUUCUUAGAGAAAACCUGAUCAAGUUCCAUGCAAUUGAAGUCUUGCCAGGACCAAAAUAGCACCCAUUAUAAGAUGCAAGACCGAACAAACGGGGCGAUUUAACUGUAUACCAGUAGUCAAGGACAUAUUUCCACAAUUUCUCCCAAGAAUCUACAACCUCCUUACUUUGAACAAACUGACAGGUUCAGAAUCCUGAAGAUCAGCUCGUGACUACAAACACAAAACUAUCAGUUUUUUUGCUUUCUCUAUUGCUUUUCUGCUCUCUUUGCAGGGUACACAAGCCAUGUCCAAAAUCAUUACAAGCAUUAAUUCCUUUCGUUUUUUUCAUGAGUCAUCUUCAAUCUUUCAGCGUAUAGGAUGAUACUGGGUAAUACCUCGUUUUGGUGGCAACUUCCUCAAGAUGAAAAGGACCAAAGA